AUUGAACGCUGGCGGCAUGCUUUACACAUGCAAGUCGAACGGUAACACGCCGCAAGGUUCUGACGAGUGGCUGACGAGUGGGUAAUUCAUCCGAACGUGCCCAGUCGUUGAGUAUAACUACUCUAAAGAGUAGCUAAGACCACAUACGAUCUGUGCAUCAGAUCGGGGGACCGGAAGGGAUCGCUCGAUUGGAUCGGGCGAUGUCAGAUUAGGUAGUGCUUGGGGUAAGGGCUCACCAAGCCAACGAUCUGUAGCUGGUCUGAGAGGACGACCAGCCACACUGGGACUGAGACACGGACCAGACUACUACGGGAGGCAGCAGUGGGGAACUUUGGACAAUGGGCGCAAGCAUGAUCCAGCAAUGCCGCGUGCAGGAAGACGGCCUUCGGGUUGUAAACUGCUUUUGUGCGGAACGAACCGGCUUUGGUUAAUACGAGGCGCUAAUGACGGUACCGGAAGAAUAAGCACCGGCUAACUACGUG
rnacentral:rRNA from 1 species